GACGAACCGAGCGAACGUUAUUCGGAAUCACUGGGCUUAAAGGGCGCGUAGGCGGGUCAGCAAGUCAGGGGUGAAAUCCCACGGCUCAACCGUGGAAGUGCCUUUGAUACUGUUGAUCUCGAGGGAGGUAGGGGCGUGCGGAACUUCCGGUGGAGCGGUGAAAUGCGUAGAUAUCGGAAGGAACACCGGUGGCGAAAGCGGCGCGCUGGACCUCUUCUGACGCUGAGGCGCGAAAGCCAGGGGAGCAAACGGG
rnacentral:rRNA from 1 species